rnacentral:lncRNA from 1 species
AGAAUUCUGCACGCUCAAGACAAAUUGAUUGAACAGGUGCAUGAAAUCAUGCGCAUACAUAACUAGAUCAAACACAAAGUUUCCCAGAUUCUUCUCCAACAGUAGGUAAGCCACUACGACAGAAGGAAAAAAUGGGCCUAACUCCACGGUCUAUCUAAAUGCCCGCAUUCUGAAAUUGCAAGAGCCAGAGUGAUUUGAAUAGAAUAUACAGCGCUCAUCCCGCUCCCGUAAACAAAUUUGUGCGACACUAGUCCAUCAAAAAUCCAAACAAACUAGUCAAACUAGUUUAUGAUCCUCAGUAAAAUCAGUUCCUUCACAAAAAGCAAACCGAACAUCCAACUCUGUAAGAUUAGGCUCCGACCAAGCUAUGACGCCGCAAGCGGCAAAAGCUAAACAUCAGCAUCAGCAUUAGCAUN